rnacentral:rRNA from 1 species
CCUCCUUUUUUCCUCCUUUUUUCCUCUUUCCCCCUUUUGUCCCCCCUGCUGCCGCGCCGCCGCGUGCGUGAAGAAGUAUUUCGGUAUGUAAAGCUCUAUCAGCAGGGAAGAAAAAAGACGGUACCUGACUAAGAAGCCCCGGCUAACUACGUGCCAGCAGCCGCGGUAAUACGUAGGGGGCAAGCGUUAUCCGGAUUUACUGGGUGUAAAGGGAGCGUAGACGGUAUGGCAAGUCUGAAGUGAAAGCCCAGGGCUUAACCCUGGGACUGCUUUGGAAACUGUUAGACUAGAGUGCUGGAGAGGUAAGUGGAAUUCCUAGUGUAGCGGUGAAAUGCGUAGAUAUUAGGAGGAACACCAGUGGCGAAGGCGGCUUACUGGACAGUAACUGACGUUGAGGCUCGAAAGCGUGGGGAGCAAACAGGAUUAGAUACCCUUGUAGUC